CCCGUGGGGGCACUUUUUGCAGUCUUGGCCAGAGGGCGGAGGCAGUCCUCAGUGGCUGCGUCGUGUGAGUCGUCUGAGUCGUCUGCGGGCCGUUUGGUGGUGAUCGGUUUACCAUGGCUGGGAGUGGACGACGACAGGUGGGAGACAAGGUUCGGCAGCUCGGGCCAGUGGUUCACUGCGGGUGAGUCGUCCUCGUCAGACAUGGCGAGGUCAUUCUCGAGUGUAGAAGCCCCGGACUCGGAGUUAUCCAUCGAGGCAGGCAAUGCCUCGAUAGAAGGUGGGUGAAGCAACAAGGGCUUGCUGGCACAGUUCAGACUCCAGCAGACAACAGCUGUGUGUGAAGUCUCGAAGACUUGAACCACAGGUAGAAUGCAGGAGGAGCGAGCGGAGGUCCGUACUCAACCAAGGUUGGAGCAGGAAUGGUUGCAUGAAAUGAACGGAUAUACUCCUUAGUUGUGCAGCUUGUGGAGUGUAGUGGAUCAGAGUGCUCCAUCCUGGCGUGCGGGAUUUCUGACGAUGCAACUAUUGGUGCGUCCAGGUGUAUCAGUGUGCUCGUGGGAUAGAAAUCAAUCUGAGUAGUGUGGGUGUCGUGAAGGCUGGACCUGCCUCCGCGCCGCACGGCAAGGUAAGCUGAAGGGAGGCACUGACUAGGACGCUCCGGGAAGGAACCGGAUAUAAAGCGACGCACAAGACUGGGCUGGAAUGCUUUCAGAAAACGAGGCAGUAAUGAGAGGCUCCCCACCCUUGUACUUGAGGCAAAAGGGACUUCUUCAGAAGAAUGAGGCCUCCAGGCUACCUGCCCCACAUUAAUCAGAAUCAGCGGGAUCUACUGGCUGCCUGGCAGAGAGCUGAUUGGUUCGCGCACCUUCAUCUUGGGUCGUGCUUCAUGCUCUCUGAUUGGUUCCCUUAUCUCACACGUCUCUUGGCCGCCACAAUAGCUGCUGCGGCUGCACAGACUACACUGCCCACUCUCUUGUCGAUGUUUUCUUGUUAUUUGUUAUGAAGAGGCGAUUGUAUGCUUUCCUUUGAUAUUUUGUCAAGUUACCCUCGAGAACCUUUUCGUCUUACUAUUUUGUUAGGUUACCCUCAAGAACCUUUGUCUUACUAUUUUGUUUGGUUACCCUCGAGAACCUUUGUCUUACUAUUUUGUUUGGUUACCCUCGAGAACCUUUGUCUUACUAUUUUGUUUGGUUACCCUCGAGAACCUUUGUCUUACUAUUUUGUUUGGUUACCCUCGAGAACCUUUGUCUUACUAUUUUGUUUGGUUACCCUCGAGAACCUUUGUCUUACUAUUUUGUUUGGUUACCCUCGAGAACCUAUACGUCUUACUAUUUUGUUUGGUUACCCUUGUCGUCUACUUUGUUCGCCAAUGCACUACUUGGUCU